UUUUUCAUGACUUAUUAAUAAGCAAUAUAUAUGUAUAUAUCAAACAGACAGAAGAGAGAAAGCAUAUGAAAAUCUUCAAAUAAUAGCUAAAAUAAGUUUAUUAUAAUAUGCUAUACAAAACAGAACACGUGAAACUACAUACACUCAUUCACAUCACAACAACCAGUUUUCAUACAAUCAUUCACAUCACAUCAACCAGUUUAACCAUCGAAUCUUGCAUACCCAGGAACUUCAAACUUCACCCAGAUCCACACAAUCAUAAAUAAUGGGAUCUACAAAUAGACCGCUCUACCAGUACAAAAGCUAGCUGCUCUUCAACAUGGGUAGAAGUCCUCAACGGAGUUCCAUUCACCUACAAGAACAGAAUGGAAUAUCAAGUACUUGCAUUCUUCAAGAAGAUUACAACCAACAUAUAUAUGUACGGGGACAUCAGGAAAGCUGAUGGAGCAAAAUCAAACAACAGAUAAAUCAAGUAAACAGACCAUUUGGAAAAAAAUAUACUACCAGGCUUGAACAUGAGCAUAGAAAAGAAAAGAUGAUUUCAGUGAAAUUAAAACUGCCAAUGAAAGCUGAAUAACAGUUCAGCUGAUUAAUUCCUAGUAUGGAGGAAUAUCACAAAAUUAAACAAGAUGGUCGUGCAAGUUUCUAUACAAGUAUUCGUGAUUACGGUUUGUUAUCAUCGUCUAAAUUCUCCAACCUGCACAAAAUUAAUUAAUAUAUCUGAAUGUGCUACCAAUGAAGCAAAUUCUAAAAGAUACACGGACAGGGCUUAAUUAGCUAACCAUGUCAUUCUAUAAACACACAGCAAACUCAAUGAUAACGUGUAUAGUUAUUACCAUAUAGUUUCUAUAUGAGUAUUCAUGAUUUCCUUUUGUCAUCGUCGUUUAAAUAGCUUGGCGAACAUUGACAGCAAAGAAACAAAAAAUUUAAGUCAAUAGCUUUGUGAGCAUGUAGUAGAUUGUUCACAUCCUUAUGAAAUACAUGGCAAAGAAGCUUUACCAUGUAGACAAACACCCACUAACUCAGACGCUACAGGUGCUUGUUUCAUCAUGUUACAAAGGAGAAGCACAAACCACAACUUUACUCCACACACACAUACACACACACACACACACGCACACGGACCAGUAGAUCAAUAGGAGGACAUAGAUUAGACCAAAUCCACAUAAACAAAUCCAUACACAUAGCAGGAUAACUGGAUAUUGGCCAAUUGGUUUGAUCAGGAGCAACAGUGCAUAUUUUCCCUAAACCUAAAAUUGCCAUAGUGCGUAAAUCAUGCCACUGGUCAGAGCACAACACCACAAUCACCAGUACAAGGCCACCAGAAGCACCACAGAGAGGGAUAGAGCUCACCUAGGUGGUUUGUAGCCAAGGAAGAAGCACAGCCGGCCGCGGUUGCGGCAGAGUUACUUGCAACGCAUAUGCAGAUCCUUGGGGCUUGUUGUCUUUACCAACACUUCAUCCCACAAAACAACUCCCUUGGCUGCCAUGUCACAUGCUUCUACUGCCUUGUCCACCAUGUCAUAGAUGCAUCCAGAGUAGUUGGACUGAGAUCCUCCAGCAGAGGGGCACAACCAACUAACAUACAAAAGGAGAAACGGUCACUUUAAACGGUAAUAAUAUUUUAGGUCUGACUAGUACUAAAAUCAACAGCAUCUGACUCUAUAUAAAAAAUCAACAACAUGUUGUAACAGUACGACUGUGCUCCCAAUCAUAAACAACAAGAUUCGGGACAUUUAUCAUGCCAACAAUACCACUAGUAGUAGUACCAAUGUGUUAACAAAAUUUAGGCCAGUAAACCAGGACAAAGCCCCUGCUGCUCUCAAACAGUAGGUCACCGCCAUAAGCUUUGAUUUCUGGCAACUAGGGGAAUUGUAUCAAUUGCAAUUCAAGAUGGUGCAUUAUUUGCUAGUGGCAAAGCAGGUUCGUUUUUACUGGGUACUAACAAAGUUGGUUUUUACUAGGUAGCGGCAUAGUAAGUUGUGACAUUUAAAAAAAACAGUAAGAAAACCAGCGGCGGCUGCUCCAGCCCGCUGCUCUCCUCCUCGACACCGCCACUGUAAAUUUUGCUAGCAAUCAUCAGCAGCAAGUACAUAGUAAACUAGGACUUUGUUGUAGCUACAGAAACUGAAACAACACACACAUCAUGGAAUUUCAUAUCAUAGCCAACAAAUAUUUUACCGGAACACAGGGUGUUCUUCUCCGUAUUUUAGAAACAUGCAAACAAAGGUUUCAGUACAAACAAACAAGUGGAGUAGACAAAUUUCAGAACAGAAUGUGUUCGCACCAUUUGGUUUAUGUGCUUGGUUUAUUUAAACAGAAGUUUCUGUACAAAUAGACAAGUGGAGUUAAAAAAAUACAGAAACUACAUAAGCUGCACAUUCAGGUUGUGAUACUCCCAUCUUCAGUAUAUGCAUGUUGUGAUACUCCCAUCUUAUGCAAUUUGACUCGCAGAACAAGAACAAAACUGAUUUUGAACAUUCGAUGCAAAAUACGGUAAAUACGUCUUGUAUCUACUCCUUGGCUACUGUUAUUUCAACUGUAAAUUUAGCCAGCAAUCAUCAGCAGCAAGUACAGAGUAAACUGGGACUUUGUUGUAGCUACAGAAACUGAAACAACACACACAUCAUGGAAUUUCAUAUCAUAGCCAACAAAUAUUUUACCAGAACACAGGGUGUUCUUCUCUGUAUUUUAGAAACAUGCAAACAAUGGUUUCAAUACAGUCAAACAAGUGGAGUAGACAAAUUUCAUAACAGAAUGUGUUCGCACCAUUUGGAUUAUUUGCUCGGUUUAUUUAAACAAAAGUUUCUGUACAAAUAGACAAGUGGAGUAGCAUGUGUUUACUUUGCAUGCUCAAGGUACACUAGUCUGAUGAAAACAAUAUGCUCGAGGUAAAUUAGCUUGCAUGCUCGGAGUACAUUUAGAAAUUCUGAACAACAUCAAAUUGGCUAAAUAACUUGGCCUAGAACACCAAUCUUAAAGUGAAUUUAUGAGAGCAGUACAUUCAUGAAGUUCUACUCUGAAUUUUAACUUUCUUUCUCUGAAUUUUCUGCAGCGGGGUAAUAUCUCAAAAGAAAACAACACUGUAAACAGGCAAUUGACUAAAACCCGGAGUACUAUGAUAGGGAAUACCCACAUUCAUUUCAGAAAUUGGUGUUGGACAUACGACAACCCCUUGAAGUACACCUAAAUUUAUACUGAAUUCCUUGCUCUAUGACUAAAACCCGGAGUAGAAACAUAAGGAAUUGAAAUGCCUGCAUUCAUUUCAGCAAGCAAACUAGUAGAUCUUAGAGGUUGAAGCACUAAGGUUAAGGAGUAACUUAACCAGAAGGGCCUGGCAAGCUAGCACAAGCAUCAACAGCCGUUUUAAUCAAUCAGAAGGGCAGGAGUAGCUUAAUCAAUACCCUUAUCCGUGAAUUACAGGUAGG
rnacentral:lncRNA from 1 species